CGAGUAAUGGCGAAUGAAACGGGAAAAGCCCAAAUUUGAAAUCUCCUAGCUUUUAUCGCUAGGCGAGUUGUAAUUUGUAGAAGGUCUUCAUCUGAACUGUGUUUGCUAAAGUCCAUUGGAAAAUGGCGGGCCUUUAUGGUCCUCAAGUCGUAGAGGGUGACAACCCCGUUCUUGGCAUUCUACUAGUUCUUUUGUAUGAUUCCUUCAAAGAGUCGGAUUGUUUGGGAAUGCAAUCCAAAACGGGUGGUAAAUUCCAUCCAAGGCUAAAUAUUAGCAAGAGACCGAUAGCGAACAAGUACCGUGAGGGAAAGAUGAAAAGAACUCUGAAGAGAGAGUUCAACAGUACGUGAAAUUGCUGAAAGGGAAACGCUUGAAACGAUUGUUGCUUUUGGUUUCGGCCUUGAGCGAGUCAGCAGCAGUUUUAAACGGUAAAGAAGUGCUUGUGGAAGGUAGUUUUCUUUGGAAAAUGUUAUAGCCAUAAGUAACUGUGCCGGUUAGGACUGAGGAUCGCUUUUAAGUGUCUUGUCGAGGAAUUUUGGGCCGUUAGCGCCAAGGCCUUGGGCUUGCUCAAGACUUGGUGUUAACUGUUCAGGACGACCAAACACAAGGCCUUAAAAU
rnacentral:rRNA from 1 species